rnacentral:antisense_RNA from 1 species
AGCCAUGGCGGCUGUGCGCGGGAGGCUUUCGAGCCUGCCGGGUUUGGGAUUCGUCCGGUUUACCACCCUGCGUGCAGCUGCCACCCAU